rnacentral:rRNA from 1 species
CGGAGCAACGCCGCGUGGGGGAAGAAGGCUUUUGGGUUGUAAACCCCUUUUCUCAAGGAAGAACNAAAUGACGGUACUUGAGGAAUCAGCCUCGGCUAACUCCGUGCCAGCAGCCGCGGUAAUACGGAGGAGGCAAGCGUUAUCCGGAAUUAUUGGGCGUAAAGCGUUCGNAGGCGGCUGUUCAAGUCUGCUGUCAAAGACCGNGGCUCAACCUCGGGUCGGCAGUGGAAACUGGAUAGCUAGAGGUCGGUAGGGGCAGAGGGAAUUCCCAGUGUAGCGGUGAAAUGCGUAGAUAUUGGGAAGAACACCGGUGGCGAAAGCGCUUUGCUGGGCCGAACCUGACGCUGAGG